GAGCUAUUAGCUCAGUUGGUAGAGCAUCUGACUUUUAAUCAGAGGGUCAGAGGUUCGAAUCCUCUAUGGCUCACCA
rnacentral:tRNA from 2 species